rnacentral:lncRNA from 1 species
AAAGCAGAAGUUGAAAAGCUUCAAAAUAGAGAUUCCAAGAAUCAACUCUUUUUAAGCUUUUGUAAAUUGUUUUUGACCUGUUACCAGAAGUAGAAGCUAUGCCAAACACUGUGGCAACACAACUUUCAAGAUAGAAAAAAGCAAAAGUUGUAGUUAUAAGCUCUACCAAGCAUGUACCAUGUGUGUUGGACCCAAUUGUUGUUCUUAACUCAUCAUUUCUCCAUGUGAACUAAUACGUGCUGGAGCCCUAAAGCCUAUUGCCAAUAAUUGUUGGUAACAAAGCCGAUAGGUCAUAAAUGGGUGGACUCUGAAGGUCUAUGCAAUUUUUAAGACUCAAAUGGAGCAAGAAAAAUUUAGGUGGAGCUGACAUGGAGGCUCUCAAUGGAGUGGUGUAGAGAAUUGAUCAAGCCAAAGAAGGAUCAUGGAUGAUCUAUGGAGAACUCUUCAAUGGCGUAAGAAGCACCUAUGCUUCUGAGAAGGUAGUGUCAAGCGUUGGAUACUAACACUCUUCGAGCAUUUGCUAACACGUGUUUGCACUUGUCUGAACCUGGCUUGUUUUUUAUUUUUACUUUUUAGAACCAGACACG